UACCAGUUCCGACACGGAGCAAUGAAACACGCCCAACCCUAGCGCUAGCGAGCGGAGCACCACGGCGGCGGCGCGCUUACCACCGGCUCUCCGUCGCUGCAUCGCCACUCCUCCGUCGUCCGAGCGCGACCAGGUCACUUCCUCUUCUGGUCCCCUUCCUCCGGCACCCACAGUCCCUCGCGGCUCCCCGACAUUCUCCGUCCCCGCACAGCCAAAAACUGCAGAUUGCUACAAUGCCCAUGUUCUGGAGGUUGGCGCUACAUAAAACUAUUGAGAUAGUCGGAGCUUGCCUUCACCUAUUAUGCUCUCUGGUGCAAAUCCCUAAAAGGUAGCAAGUGCUCUUAUCUACUCCCUCUGUCCCAUAAUAUAAGAUCUUAUUACAUCCAAUACGCUCAUGAGAUCUUAUAUUAUGGGACGGAGGGGGUAGCUGUUAAGAACAUAUGACAAAGUUUCGGAUAUCUCUUGAUCUCUUUAACUGUUUCUAUGAGUCAUUUUAGAUGUGUAAGCAAAUAUUCGACAAGCUCGGGCUCAGAGAGUGGACCCUGGAUAGGGUAUACGCUCUCGACAAGUCUGCACAGUGGAGAUGUGUUGGAGGGCACAAAUGAAAGACUUUCAUCAGUCAGCGAUGCAGAGUUCCCGGCAGAAAGCCCUAGGGAGCUCUCAGAUAAUGGGAUGAGCCGUUCACGAAGCUCCAUGAAGAUCCAAGAACUGGAUAGGUACAUUGAAUUGCUACAUCAGGACGUGGCACUAAUGAGGCAGGAACUCGGGGGAGUUCGCACAAGUCAGCAGGAAGUAGCAGAAGCAGUUGAUGAUAUAAAGGAAUGCAAAUAUCAUCUCUCUCUCUCUCUCUCUCUCUCUCUCUCUCUCUCUCUCUCUCUCUCUCUCUCUUAUGGAGCUUCAAGUAUGUGAUCCCUAACAUGGUCGUUUGUUAUUGCAGAAAUCCUUCUUCGGUUGAAGUCAUUUUAUCUAUGAAAGCACCGGUUGCCCUAGCUAUUCUUUUGAGUAUAAGUCAUUUUAUCUCUCUCACAUGCUUGCUGUAGCGAGUUAAGUAUGGCUGAAAACGCUCUCCUGGGUAGGUGUAUGUGUGGUAGUAGAAGAGAAGCAGUGAUUGCAAUCCGACGAGUGUCAUGACAUGAGCCAUGACGACAAGCAUUUCGUAGGAGAUGGAAUUGGCAGGUUUAUUAAUAUGUUGUGUUCUUUUUUUUUUGAAACAAGGCAGAAGAUUUGCCAUUUUCAUUA